CUCACUUUCCGCUUCCCAGCAUUGGCGGGUUCCGGGACUGGUGGCUGCGGUAGCUCAUUGGCCUUUGGUCUCUUAGACGGUGGAGAAUAAUCAUCAUCUUGAAAAAGAAAAUGGUCAUUACUGGAAGAACCAUCUUACAGUUACAGUCACCUCCUGGUCAAUUCCCAACAUUCAAAAGGUGCUGGGAUUACAGGCGUGAGCCACUGCGCCCAGCUACAACUGACUUUUUUGAUCCCUGGGAGAUGAGUCAACACCAAGGGACGACCAGUCCUAAGCCCUGGACAUGGACCUGGGGGUGAGGACAGAAGGGGAUCAGGACCAGCCCUCUCAUCCUGCACACUGAGGCAUGGGUGAUCCCAGGAAGCCACUCACCAGGCACCAGGGUGGCUUCCUGGAGGAGAGGAUGCUGAAGCCGACCUCAAGAAGUGUCUGUGUUAGGUUUAAGGACUCACAAGACUUCUCUGGCUGGACUAAAGCUGUGCGACCUUGCCAUUGUACUUCUCCAAAGCUAGUGUCUUCACCGCUCUGCAAAAUAUGGCAAAGUCAACGGUAGCUCUCAUCACCACUGGUCACAGCAGAGGGAGCUGUGCCCAGGGAAUCUUUUUGGACAUUGCAAAGAUGAUUUUUCUCUCUUGGGAACGAGUCUGAUCUCUUUAACUCCUUUGUGAAGAUGCCAAAAACAUCUGCAGUGGACACUGCUGGAAUUGCUCAUGAGAUGUAAGCCACGUUUCAGAGAAAAGAGCAAUCUAUCAGAGGAUAUUCCUUCCAGCAACUGAGAACCUUUCAGAGCUUGAUUGCUGUGAAUGCUCCAGCCUUUCCAGUGUUUUACGCCACUCUCAAAUGAGAUAACGAAGCACUUUAAUUUACUGUUCAACUCCCAAACAGAGUGAGUGGGUAAGGCGUCAUCCGCACCCCAGGCCUAAGGAGAUAGAAGGCUGGAACCAGGCUCAGGAGGCCACACUGAACCCAGCAUGUUGUCAAUGGUCCUCAGAUCUAUUUUUUUUUUUUUUUUUUUGAGACAGGGUCUUGCCCUGUCACCCAGGCUAGAGUGCAGUGAUGUGAUCAUAGUUCACUGCAGCCUCAAAAUCCUGGAUUCAAGGGACCCUGCUGCCUCAGCCUCCCGAGUAGCUGGGACUACAGGCACAUACCACCAUGCCUGGCUAGUUUUUUUCAUUUUCUUUAGAGAUGGAGUCUUGCUAUGUUGCCCAGGCUAAUCUUGAAUUCCUGAUCUUAAGCAAUCCACCCACCCUGGCCUCUCAAAGUGCUGGGAUUGCAGGUGUGAGCCACUGUGCCCAGCCUCUUCCUAGCUCUUGGGUCCCUCUUGCAAACUGACCCAUGGGAACAACUUUGCU
rnacentral:lncRNA from 1 species